rnacentral:rRNA from 1 species
UACGUAGGGUGCAAGCGUUGUCCGGAAUUAUUGGGCGUAAAGAGCUUGUAGGCGGUUUGUCGCGUCUGCUGUGAAAUUUCGGGGCUCAACCCCGAACUUGCAGUGGGUACGGGCAGACUAGAGUGUGGUAGGGGAGACUGGAAUUCCUGGUGUAGCGGUGAAAUGCGCAGAUAUCAGGAAGAACACCCGUGGCUAAGGCGGCUCUCUAGUACGGUACUGACGCUGAGACGCGAAAGCGUGGGAGCGAACAGG